rnacentral:rRNA from 1 species
AACCUUUUAGCGCAAUAGAUAAAGUACUGCAAAGGAAAAAUGAAAUAGAAAUGAUAUAAACCAUAAAAACAAAAUAAAGCAGGAACUAAGCCCCGUACCUUUUGCAUAAUGGUCUAGCAAGUCUUACCCAACAAAAAGAAUUUUAGCCGAUACCCCCGAAACCUGACGAGCUACCCCAAGGCAGCAAUAAGAGCAAACCCGUCUCUGUAGCAAAAGAGUGGGAAGACCUAGGGGUAGUGGCGAAAAACCUAACGAGCCAGGAUAUAGCUGGUUACUUGAAAAAGAAUUUUAGUUCAACUAAGAGUAAACAAUCACCCAAAGAAUAAAUUAUUGCUCUUAAUAUAAUUAACUGGGGUACAGCCCAGUUUAAAUAGGAAACAGCCAACAAAAAUAAAUAAAGAUUUUAACUAUAAGAAGAAUAUAGCCAAGUAGGCCUAAAAGCAGCCACCAAAAAAGCGUCAAAGCUUAUCUCCAUAUAACCUAAUGAUUUUAAUAAAAAAUCUUACUUUAUUUUAAAAAUCAAGUCAAUCUAGUUUUAGAUAAGUUAUUACUAGAAUAAGUAACAAGGACAAAUCCUCUAAAUAUACAUGUACAUCGAAACGAAAGUAUCGCCGACACUUAGCGAACUCAUAUUAACUUUCCAAGAACCACCAAUUAAUCAUACCGUUACCCCGACACAGGCAUAUUUAAGAAAGACCAAAAGCCGGGAAAGGAACUCGGCAAACCUAGGCUUCGCCUGUUUACCAAAAACAUAGCCUCUUGACCUAUUAAUAUAAGAGGUACUGCCUGCCCAGUGACACCUGUUCAACGGCCGCGGUAUUAUGACCGUGCAAAGGUAGCGUAAUCACUUGUCUUUUAAAUAAAGACCUGUAUGAAUGGCGAAACGAGAGCCAAACUGUCUCUCCCAACUAAUCAGUGAAAUUGAUCUUCCCGUGCAGAAGCAGGAAUAUUAAUACAAGACGAGAAGACCCUAUGGAGCUUUAAGCUAAAACUAACAAUGCAAAAUAAACUACAAGGGGCCCUUAGUAUAAAGCUUUAGGUUGGGGCGACCACGGAGAAAAAUAAAACCUCCGAGAUGAUAUAGCCAAGAAAAACACAUCAAAGCAACAAAAACCUUGACACAUUGACCCAAUAUUUGACCAACGAACCAANUUACCCUAGGGAUAACAGCGCAAUCUUCUCAUAGAGUCCUUAUCGACGAGAAGGUUUACGACCUCGAUGUUGGAUCAGGGCCCCCAAAUGGUGCAGCAGCUAUUAAAGGUUCGUUUNUUCAACGAUUAAAGCCCUACGUGAUCUGAGUUCAGACCGGAGAAAUCCAGGUCA